AUCGGUUGAAGAUUUUUAAAAAACAGAUUUAUUUCCUAUUAUUGCUUUUAUUGCUUAAUGCAAAGAGAAAAAAUGCAACAUAUAACAAAUAUAUCAUACAAAAAAAAAGACAGAUAAACCGACAGGAUUAUAAUUUGAAUCAACCUCUUUACUAUUAAAUGAGUGUAUACAGAUUUUCUACUUUCAUUUGCUUUGAAAAAUGAUCCACAAAACAUCACUUACCUACAAUUAUACUCCAGGAAUGAUCACCAGCUUAAAGGUAAAAUUAAUUUUGCUGCCAG